AUGCCUAAUACAUGUCAAGUCGAACGGCAGUUACCUUCGGGUAACUUAGUGGCGAACGGGUGAGUAACACGUAGGUAAUCCAUCCCAAGGACGAGGAUAGCUUCUGGAAACGGAAGGUAAAACUGGAUAGUUAAUUAGAGGGCAUCCUUUAGUUAUUAAAAGAGCAAUCUACCCUGGGAAGAGCCUGCGGCGCAUUAGCUAGUUGGUGAGGUAAUGGCCCACCAAGGCGAUGAUGCGUAGCCGGACUGAGAGGUCGACCGGCCACAUUGGGACUGAGACACGGCCCAGACUCCUACGGGAGGCAGCAGUAGGGAAUUUUCGGCAAUGGGCGGAAGCCUGACCGAGCAAUGCCGCGUGAAUGAUGAAGUAUUUCGGUAUGUAAAGUUCUUUUAACAGGGACGAAAAAACAAAUUGACGGUACCUGUUGAAUAAGCUCCGGCUAACUACGUGCCAGCAGCCGCGGUAAUACGUAGGGAGCGAGCGUUAUCCGGAUUUAUUGGGCGUAAAGGGUGCGUAGGCGGCACGAUAAGUUAAUUGUUAAAAUGCGGGGCUCAACCCCGUAGUGCAAUUGAUACUGUCGAGCUAGAGUAUCGCAGAGGUGAGUGGAACUCCAUGUGUAGCGGUAAAAUGCGUAAAUAUAUGGAAGACACCAGUGGCGAAGCGGCUCACUAGGCAAUACUGACNCUGAGCACGAAGCGUGGGGGCAAACAGAUCAGAUACCUGGUAUCCAGCCCUAACGAUGAUUCUAAGUGUGGACCAUUCACGCUGCAUUACGCAAUAGUCUCCGCUG
rnacentral:rRNA from 1 species